rnacentral:lncRNA from 1 species
AGACCCCUACACACAUUACAAGAAAUAUUUUAAACAAUAAAAGAGGAGAAGAAGAAGAGGAAAACAAUGAACCAGACCAGUCAAUGCAUUGAACAAAGUAGGAAAAUAGAGGCAAUAUUGCUUUGCCAGUCCUGGAGGGCAUCUCUUCUCAUUUGUCCUCAUUGGAUCAUGCUUCCUCUUUCAGGGGGGAAAAUGCUUGUAUUGAGCUGAGGAAAUUAAAGAAAAAUUGCUACAGAUACGAAAACAAUGAAGCUCCUACAGUGGACAGCAUCAUUGAAACGAAAGCCAUCACAAAAAAAAAGUAUGUUAAUUUUGAUGUUUCAACUCUGGCAUCUACCUGGAAAACCAGGUAAACUCAAGUACAACUAGUGGGGAUUUAAGAAUGGUAGAAUCUCAAGAAAACAAUCUUGCAGCAUCCUGGUAAAGUCUAAAACAUAACUGUAUCCCAUGUCUGUCCCUGUCAUCCUUUUACUUGGAAUAUACCUAAUGGAGACUAUUAUGCAAACAGGUAAAAAGAGAGGUGAUUUUCAAAUAAUUUUCUCCAAUAACCUGGAGAUGCCUGAAAAGCCUGACAAGUUAAGACUGUCUGAAGAAAUUUUAAAUAAUCACUAUAAAAAGCAUAAUGGCAGGAAUGUUAAAUAGAUUAGUAUAAGGAACAAGAAAAUUUUGGAAAAACUGUGAAUUAAUGUGAGCACAUGGAACCAGAAUAAAAGAGUCUACAAUAUUUGAACCGUCACCCACAAGGAAACAUAUAUGCUUUGAAGUAAGAGGAAUGUUUUACAGAGAGUGAUGGAUAGACAAAACGGUAAAGGGGACACACAAGAGAAUAACUGAUAGGUAGAAUUCAAUGAAUGGAAUCGACUAUACCUAAAUUCAUUCAACUAGAUCAGUGGAAGAAUUGGGAGAGAAGCCAAGAAUCUUGAUAUCCAAAUCCACACUCUCCACUUAAAACACUUAAAAUGUUUAUUUUAUAUUUCAGAGAAACUGAAUUGAAAACACAGGAGCUGAUCAUAACAACAGCCUGUCAAGAGAGAGCACAGAAAUUUUACAAUGAAGUGAAAAAGAUAUUGGCCAUGGAAAAAAUUGAAGUGGAAAGUGGAACUGAAGAGGAAAAUGGUUUUGAUGAUUAUUCAAUUCUGUUAUCUCUCUGGAGAACCAGAGAAGCUGUAUAUAAGAAACAAAGACUGCAAUUCCAAACAGUUUUAGAAGAAAGAAGUCAGACAUUCUUCAAAGAAGUCAAAGAGUUAUGUGCUAUGAGGAGAGAAUUCAAUUCAUGGGAAAACAUUAAUGAGGAAGAAAAUAUCACCAUAAAGGAAAACAUGACUAAAAAGGAAAACAUUUAUGAUGCUUCGACUCUACUAUCUUCCUGGACAAACAGAGAAACUGAAUUCAGGAAACAAGAACUGACAAGAAAAAUCAUUUUGCAAGAGCAAACGCAGGCAUUCCUCACGGACAUCAAAGAGUUGUAUGCCGUGGAAAGUGAUGAACAUUCGGAAGAGGAAAACAUCCUUGAAAUGGAAAGAAUGAUUGAAAAUGAAACCGCUCUUAAUGAGGAAAACAUCACAGAAACAAAAACCACCACUGGGAAGAAAUCUAUUCGUUAUACUGGUUGGACCCUGGCCCGUCUCUGGACAAUCAGACAAAAUGAAAUAAAAAAACAAGAAAUGGCAAGAAAAGCAGCUCUGGAAGAGAAAGCUGAGAAUUACAUCAAAGUAAUCAAAGAGAUAUAUGCAAUGGAAAUCAAUGAUGACAAGGAGAAGAACGAAUUGAAUGCAAGGGAAUACACAAACACUUCUGAAAAGGUACCAGAAGUGGAACAAAAAAUAAGAGAAAAGGAAAAAACCAAAGAAAUAUCAGGAUUCCUGCUGAACAAAAACCUAGAAGAUCCACCCAUAAUAAUUUUAGAAACAGAAGACUCCAAUAAAUCUGACAAUAGGAGUGAGAACAUUGAAACUUUGGAAGCAUCACCAGAGACAAGGUCUGCAUCAUGGAUUCCCAGGUGUUUUCGUGGGUGCUCUUUCUUCAACGUGGAUUUCAGAACCCUCAGGAAAAAAUUCAAAAAGGGACCAAAAGAGAGAAAAGAUCAACAGAAGGAUCAAGGAAAUUUUCCAUCAACUCAAGGGGAAAUAUCGCGCCGUACCAUGGAAAGAUUUCCAGAAACGUACCAUCACAGGAACCCAACCAUCUCAGACUGGACAGAGGAGGACGUGAGUAAUUGGCUCUGCUUCACUGGGAUGGAUUAUUAUUCCAGUCGUGUACACUUCGAUGGCUGGCUCCUGCUUACACAUACAAAGAGAGUCCUAAAGAGCUUUGACAACCAAAAUCGAAAGGAAAAAAAGAUUCUCCUUAAGAAGAUAAAAAAACUCCAACGGCUCGAGGCAGAACUGGAAAGAAGAAAUGCAAAAAGAGUCCUAAUGAGGACGGGCAUAAGAGAGAAGCCCAUCUAUUAGAACUAUUCUCAUUACAUCACAUGAAGCGGCACAAAGACCUGUUACAGUGGAGGGAAAGAAGAGAGGGAGAUGAGCAUUGUUUGAACCUUACUGUCAUCAAAUUUGACUCAAGAAGGGAAUAACAUAGGUUUAGAAAUCUAACUUGUCUAAUAUGCAGUAGGAGGGGAAAGAAAAGGGAGGGGGGAUGGAAGGGACGGAAGAAGUAGUAAAGGAAAAAGGAAAGAAAAGGGAGGGAGCUGAUAGAAGGGGGGGCAGAUCGAGGGAGGCGGUGGUCAAAAGCAAAACUCUGGUGAAGAGGGAAAGGGAGAAACGAGAAAGAAAAGCAUAAAGGGGCAGGGAAUGGGAUGGAGAGAAAGACACUGAUAGUAAUCAUAACUGUGAAUGACAUGAACUCUCCCAUAAAUGGAAGUGGAUAGCAGAAUACCAAAUUAGAAACACUGAAAACCAGAGGAGAGAUUAAUAAAGUUGAAAUUAAGAAAACUAUUGAACUAAUA